CCUACGGGAGGCAGCAGUGGGGAAUUUUGGACAAUGGGCGCAAGCCUGAUCCAGCAAUGCCGCGUGAGUGAAGAAGGCCUUCGGGUUGUAAAGCUCUUUUGUCAGGGAAGAAACGGUGGGAGCUAAUAUCUCCCGCUAAUGACGGUACCUGAAGAAUAAGCACCGGCUAACUACGUGCCAGCAGCCGCGGUAAUACGUAGGGUGCAAGCGUUAAUCGGAAUUACUGGGCGUAAAGCGUGCGCAGGCGGUUUUGUAAGUCUGUCGUGAAAGCCCCGGGCUCAACCUGGGAAUUGCGAUGGAGACUGCAAGGCUUGAAUCUGGCAGAGGGGGGUAGAAUUCCACGUGUAGCAGUGAAAUGCGUAGAGAUGUGGAGGAACACCGAUGGCGAAGGCAGCCCCCUGGGUCAAGAUUGACGCUCAUGCACGAAAGCGUGGGGAGCAAACAGGAUUAGAUACCCUGGUAGUCCACGCCCUAAACGAUGUCUACUAGUUGUCGGGUUUUAAUUAACUUGGUAACGCAGCUAACGCGUGAAGUAGACCGCCUGGGGAGUACGGUCGCAAGAUUAAAACGUCAAAGGAAUUAGACGG
rnacentral:rRNA from 1 species